GGUGGGGACAGUGGGGAACAGGUGGGGACAGUGGGGAACAGGUGGGGGCAGUGGGGAACAGGUGGGGACAGUGGGGAACAGGUGGGGGCAGUGGGGAACAGGUGGGGACAGUGGGGAACAGGUGGGGACAGUGGGGAACAGGUGGGGGCAGUGGGGAACAGGUGGGGACAGUGGGGAACAGGUGGGGAAGAGGUGGAGCCAGCAGGGAAGAGGUGGGGGCAGUGGGGAACAGGUGGGGAAGAGGUGGAGCCAGCGGGGAACAGGUGGGGACAGUGGGGAACAGGUGGGGACAGUGGGGAACAGGUGGGGAUAGUGGGGAACAGGUGGGGGCAGUGGGGAACAGGUGGGGACAGUGGGGAGCAGGUGGGGACAGUGGGGAACAGGUGGGGGCAGUGGGGAACAGGUGGGGACAGUGGGGAACAGGUGGGGAUAGUGUGGAACAGGUGGGGACAGUGGAGAACAGGUGGGGACAUUGGGGAACAGGUGGGCACAGUGGAGAACAGGUGGGGGCAGAAAAUAACAGGUGGGGACAGUGGAGUACAGGUGGGGACAAUGGUGAACAGGUAGGGACAGUGGGGAACAGGUGGGGACAGUGGAGAACAGGUGGGGACAGUGGAAAACAGGUGGGGACAGUGGAGAACAGGUGGGGACAGUGGAAAACAGGUGGGGACAGUGGAGAACAGGUGGGGACAGUGGAGAACAGGUGGGGACAGUGGAGAACAGAUGGGGCAGAAAAGAACAGGUGGGGAACAGGUGGGGAAAGUGGAGAACAGAUAGGGACAGUGGAGAACAGGUGGGGGCAGAAAAGAG
ensembl:lncRNA